AGUGGGAUUGCUGAGUCAUAUGGUUAGUGUAUGUUUAGCUUUAUAAGAAACUGCCAAACUGCUUUCCAAAGUGACUAUACCAUUUUGCACUCUACAGUAAU
rnacentral:pre_miRNA from 1 species